rnacentral:rRNA from 1 species
UACGUAGGGGGCAAGCGUUGUCCGGAUUUAUUGGGCGUAAAGAGCUCGUAGGUGGUUUGGUAAGUCGGAUGUGAAAUCUCCAGGCUCAACCUGGAGGGGUCAUUCGAUACUGCCAUGACUAGAGGUCGGUAGGGGAGUGUGGAAUUCCUGGUGGAGCGGUGAAAUGCGCAGAUAUCAGGAGGAACACCCGUAGCGAAGGCGGCACUCUGGGCCGAUUCUGACACUGAGGCGCGAAAGCUAGGGGAGCAAACGGG